rnacentral:rRNA from 1 species
AAUGACGGUACCCUUAGAGGAAGCCCUGGCUAACUACGUGCCAGCAGCCGCGGUAAUACGUAGGGGGCUAGCGUUGUCCGGAAUUACUGGGCGUAAAGGGCGUGUAGGCGGUUUUUUAAGUCAGAUGUGAAAGUUCGGGGCUCAACCUCGGAAUUGCAUUUGAAACUGGAGAACUUGAGUACUGGAGAGGUAAGUGGAAUUCCUAGUGUAGCGGUGAAAUGCGUAGAUAUUAGGAGGAACACCAGUGGCGAAGGCGACUUACUGGACAGAUACUGACGCUGAGGCGCGAAAGCGUGGGGAGCGAACAGGAUUAGAUACCCUGGUCGUCCACGCCGUAAACGAUGAGUGCUAGGUGUUGGGGCAACUCAGUGCCGUAGUUAACACAAUAAGCACUCCG